rnacentral:lncRNA from 1 species
CCGGCCACCACCCCGGAGGACUUUGCCCCUUUGGGCCGAGCAGGUCCCACCCAGCUUCUGAUAACCAGCAGUCCCGGGGGCGGGCAGAGGCCAGUUCCCACAGCGUCCAGUAUCAACACCCUGUUUCCUAACAAUAUUAUCCUUACGGGCUACUCUCUGCUGAGCACUUACUAUGCACCAGGCGCUAUGCCCAGUAUUCCGCAUCAGACCCUCCCCAGAACCCUGUGGAGCAGGCAUAAAUAUCCCCAUAUUACCGAUGAGGAGACGGAGGCUCAGGGAGGAAGUGACGGGGCCGAGGCCAUAGUUGACGAGGACAAAGCUGGGAUCCGAACCCCGAUAUGAUGAAACACACGUGCUUUUAACUGCGAUGCUAUGUCCCGAUGCCCACAGACCCGGUACUAGAGAUCCUCAGGUUGGGAGGGAUAUUGGAGGCCACUCAUUCAGCCAUUCGUGAAGGUCAGAUUCCCAAGGCAGUUUUCCUGCUUGUGUCUUGAAUACCUCUGAGCACAGGAAGCUCGCUGCUUCACGUAAGGCAGACCACGCUGACUCUGGAACUGUCUAUUAGAAGGCUGCUCCUUGUGCACGAGCCUUGCCACCCAGCAGCUGUGCUGUGGAGUCUGAUGGCAGAACGAGGACUUACCACAGCUGCUGUACAGGGACAAGAUGGGAGCACAGCAGACCCGUUUUGUCCCUUCUGCUUCCUAUCCCAGGCCUUUGCAGCUGGCCCCUCGGCCCAUGAGUGUCCCCAGGAGGAGAAACAGCUGGAGAGGGUAGUGUUUAUGGACUAAGCACCCCCCCAGGCCCACCUGGCUUUGGGCUCGGCAUUCACAGACCUGGUCCUCCCCUCUCCUGUCUCCCUCAGUGGCUCCUAGGCCUCUCUACUCUCUGUCCUAUGAACUGGGAAGGCAGGUCCCUUGGGGCAGGGAGAGUUCUGGACAAGAGAAGAAUUCUGGCCUUGCCCACUAUUGCAGCCAGCUCGGCCCUGCCGGCCUCCUUCCGCAGGUGGCCACCCACCACCCACACGCUCUGGUAACUGCUCGGCAUGGCCCGACGGGUCGCGCACGCCCCCACCCCCACCCCCAGACUGCCUGACUCAUGUGGGGAAAGCCCAGCCACUCGCCACUUCCUCCAGUCCUAUCUGCAGAAUCGGACACUCGAUCUGUUGCCAUGUCAGCCACGGAGAGGGGUGUAGCAAUGCUGCGGAAGCCCAAGAGAAGGAGGAUUCUGGGAGAAAGACAUGGGCCAGUGGCGGGUCCGUGAGGUGGGAAAUCAGCCAUGAACACGGAAGGGGGUGCUGAAGAAGCGUGUUUCCCGCACGGAAGCAGAUGUCUGUGACGGAAAACCCCGAAGGGAAGAACACAUCUUUUGGAGUCAGACCUAAGUUCAGGUCCUGGCUCCAUUAUUUUCUAGCUGUGUGGUCUUUGUGAGUUAUUUAACUUCUCUGUACCAAGACCGCCCAACUGUGCCAUGGU